GGGGAUUUAGCUCAGCGGCAUAAGCGCCUGCCUUGCAAGCAGGCAGUCAUGAGUUCAGUUCCCA
rnacentral:tRNA from 1 species